rnacentral:rRNA from 1 species
AUUGAACGCUGGCGGAAUGCUUUACACAUGCAAGUCGAACGGCAGCACGGACUUCGGUCUGGUGGCGAGUGGCGAACGGGUGAGUAAUGUAUCGGAACGUGCCCAGUCGUGGGGGAUAACGUAGUGAAAAUUACGCUAAUAACGCAUACGAUCUAUGGAUGAAAGCGGGGGAUCGCAAGACCUCGCGCGAUUGGAGCGGCCGAUAUCAGAUUAGGGAGUUGGGGGGGUAAAGGCCCACCAAGCCAACGAUCUGUAGCUGGUCUGAGAGGACGACCAGCCACACUGGAACUGAGACACGGUCCAGACUCCUACGGGAGGCAGCAGUGGGGAAUUUUGGACAAUGGGCGAAAGCCUGAUCCAGCCAUUCCGCGUGCAGGAUGAAGGCCCUCGGGUUGUAAACUGCUUUUGUACAGAACGAAAAGGUUUCUACUAAUACUAGGAGCUCAUGACGGUACUGUAAGAAUAAGCACCGGCUAACUACGUGCCAGCCGCCGCGGUAA